GCCGCGUGAAGCGACUCCGCAGCUGGCUGACGUACGUCAUGACGAUGAGGCGGUCCGGAACCGAAAGCAGAACCAUGUCGGACGGCUCCAGAAGGCGCGAGAUGCCCAGAGACUCGAAGGCGGCGAAGGCCUAGCGGGAAGUGGGUCCUGACUCGGCGACAACAGCAAAAGGCUGUCGAGAAGCACGAGACUCGACAAUUGCUGCAGCUCACAUUGAAGCGUCCGCAAUCACAUGGACGGAUAUUCAACCAUAUUGAAUGAUUCAAUCGGUCAAGAAAUACAUGGAGAGUAUGUCUAAAUGUGGGAAUUUUAACGGGGAAAGACGUGGAAUUUUACGAUGGCACUCGGGUGAAAAAUGUGGGAGUUGCAUAAUGUGUCGAUUUUUCAAUGUGGAAAUGUGUUUUUGAGACGUUCUGAAUGAACUGACCAUUUUGAACGUGGAAUGGGAAUGAUGUGGAACUCCCUUGUUGAAUGUCUCAUUGGGAACGAAUGGGUGAAUUUUGGGAUGAAAAAUGUGGAAUUGUGGGAAAUGUGGGAAUUUCUGGAAUGAGAAAAAUAAUACCCCGGGAGCCGUGAAUUUCUGGAACAUGUUGAAGUCGGAAUGUUUUGGACGGCAGGUUCCAGCACAUAGUGAAAUAGCGUUGUUAAUGUAACAUGGCUUCAUGAUCGUGUGCAUGCUACAUGCACGCGGUCGGCGCUUUGCUAAUCACUCUUUGUCUGUGUUGUUAAAAAGCGCAGUAAAUAAAGCAAUCGAGAAGGAUUGUGUUCUUUCGCUCUA